AGAACGCAUGACGGGUGUUCGAAGCCUCACUCGAAAGAGUCGCUUUGUUCUGAGAUAUUACCGUUAAAACUUGAUCUGGACAAUACCAGCGAAAGGACAUGCCUGUUCUAUCCU
rnacentral:ncRNA from 1 species